rnacentral:tRNA from 1 species
CCGAACGUAACCGACCUAUGUGGAAAUAGAUUUGGGAUCAGAGGGUCGUAGGUUCGAAUCCUAUCGCUCCGACCA